rnacentral:rRNA from 1 species
CCCUUAGAUGUUCUGGGCCGCACGCGCGCUACAAUGGUCUUCGCAAACGGAUGCAUUCUCGAAGGAGAAUGCCAAUCUUGGAAUCUAUGCCUUGGUCGGGACAGUUGCUUGCAAUUUUUCGACUCGAACCAGGAAUUCCUCGUAAUCGUGAUUCAUCACAUCACGAUGAAUACGUCCCUGCCCUUUGUACACACCGCCCGUCGCUCCUACCGAUCGAAGAGUUAGGUGAAUUGUUUUGAUCGAUAAGAUUUGACUAUGGUCAACUCUCGUUGUGAAAUUCUGUGAAUCUGACUGUUUAGAGGAAGGAAAAGUCGUAACA